GAGCAGGAUGCCUUUAAUCAAAGAAUAGGAUCUCCCUCAGAAGAAAGAAAGGCUAGGUCCAAGAUGAGUAUCUGUAAAGGGCAGCUGGAAGAUGACCCGAGGGGAACUUUCAUCCUGGGGCUGAGUCCUAGGAAGCAAGCACAGGUGCGGGCGUGGGCGCGUCCCAGACCUUGCUGAAAUCGGAUAGGCUCCAGGCCCUUCCGAAAACACACUUGAUAACGCGGCCAGCCGGCCCGCCCUCCCGGCGGCACGGAAGCCAGAGCGAGAGGCUGCGGCGAGCCAGCGAGGAGCCGUUAGUCGACUCGGCUCGCCCGCAGCGCCCUCCCUCGCUUCGGGAAGCCCUCUCGGCCCCGCCUCCUCGGCUGACGUCCGGGGCGAGCGGGGGCGGGAGCGUGGGUGGGCCGAGACGUCGGCCGCCCGCGAUUCGGCCGGCUCAGCCACACCACCGCGCGCCCCCGCUCCGCCCGCCCCUCCGGGCGCGUCUUUUCCGGGCUCGCGCCGCGCCGCGCCGCGCCUCGUCCCGCCUCCGCUGGCCGUCCGGGUGCGCGCGGGCCGCUGCGGCUUUUUCUCCGGCCUCCGUGGCGCGCCCCUCCUCGCCCCAGCGCUAGCGGGCACGCGGUUUUUCCGCGGGCUUUCCGGGUGCCAGGCGCGGGCCGGCUGCGAAGACGCCGUGUGGACCGCGUCUCCGAUUGUAAUCAAAGA